CGGAGAGGCGUCGGCGCGUCACGUGGUGGCGGUGUGGUGUGCAUGCGCUGUGAGGUUGGUGAGGCACUGGCACAGCUGCCCCAAGAGGCUGUGGAUGCCCCAUCCCUGGAGGCGUUCAAGGCCGGGCUGCGUUGUCAUCUGAAAGCUGUGAAGAAAACUGUCUAACUCCAGUGUGGUGUUAGAGAGUGACCUUCCUCGUGAUACGUACUGGGCAAGUUGACGAUUGUUUUUCCCCAGUUUGGCCAAUUUCCAUUGCUUGUUAGGUGAUAAUGAGCAACUUCCAAAGCAAUAUAUGUGAAAAUCUGAGGAAAACAUCCUUGCACCUGGUAAAGUGCAAAGAACAUCUGCCUUGGUGGUGACAAACUGGAAACACUGGGACUGUGCCUGGCCAAUUUCAUAUUUCACAGAUGAGGUGCUCGUGUGGGAACAGUGAAGACAGGCUGCUCCAAAAGGGUGGUGAGCUGGGAGUGGAGCCAUGUGGAAAUGAACAAAGCCACUAAGGAAGAACAUGUCAAGAUGAGAAAAAAUAAAUGGACAGCAGAAACUGGUGUAAUCUCAGGGCCAAAAUCUCUUACUCCAAGUUUUGAAAUGAGUAUUGGUAGAAGUUGGCUCCUCUUGAAAUCUGAGAAAUUAAAUUCAAAUCAUUUAAAUGAAACGGGCAGUCUGUAACAUAAACUGGGAGCUUAAUACAAAUGAAACCACCAUAACGUGUUGUGUCUCAUCUAAACACAUUAUUAUUCUCAAAGGCCUCUAUAAACAUUAAUAACUGAAUGAUGUUUUAACCUCUGAUUCACAAACAGAGGAUAAAAUUAAAAAUGGAAAAGGAUUAUACUUUUUUCUAAAUUGCAUUUUACUUGUGAGUUUGAUAGGGGGACAAUUGGCCUAGCAUAAACAGUAUCAUAUUUGUCGUGGCUUUUAAAGUGCAUCCAAUUAUAAUUUGAGUGAUAAACUAAUGCUGCUAACCAGGUUAGUGCAGCCCAGCUGGGCCCUGAAAUGUUUUAGUGAACACUGCUUGCUUAAUCCAAUAAUCUCUAAUCCAUAGCGUGGGAGAAAUGUUUCCAUCAGGAAGCUGAAGUAGUAAAUGUAUCAUGUCGUUUAGAAGAUUAUAGCCAGGCCUGCCUCUGCAGUCUGGUCUCAGAAGGACACUCUGUACCAAUUAUGUCCAGCUCUCUGCUAGGCUGAGACCAAAUCUCAGGAUAUUUGCAGCAGAGUGCUGUUCUGUCACCUCGGCACUGGGGUCGGAUUAAUUCCCCUUUUGUCACGCUAGUGUUAAUAACUUCUUACAUACGUCAGUAAAUGGUAACUGUUGUCCCUUGUCUUUUGCAAUUCACAAAGCAAGACUGGAAUAAAAGUUCUGAAUCUAAGUGCUUGUGACAUCACCUUAUAUCACCAUGAUAUGGACCCAUUAUGGGAACUACUGCCAUGCUAUUGAUAGACCUGUCAUUCUAGCUUUGUGUCUUGAUCUCUCGAGCCUGCCUCUGCUCACCCUUCUCAUGCCAGUCCUCUGUUUAGAUGAGGUGACACUACUGGAGCUUCCCCAUUAUCUAUCUGCAGAGCUUCUGCCUCUUG
ensembl:lncRNA